rnacentral:lncRNA from 1 species
AAGUUUGGCAUUCAUUUACGUCUUUCCCAUAUUAUUUGAUUAUUUCAGUUUUUGUAUGUCUCAAGUUUGGCAUUCAUAUACGUAUUUCCCAUGAUAUUUUUUAUUUGAUUGUAAGCUCUGAAAAUAUAUUAAUAAUUUACUGAACACAUGUAUUUGGAGAAGAUGAAGUUAGUGCACUGUUUAUGUCGUUAACAAUUUGAGAAUAUCUACAUUCAGUUGCAACAGAAUUAUCUACAUCUAUUCUAUUUAAAUUCAAAUGAAUUAAAGAUUAUUAACUUAUUCCCUUAUAACUAAUCAACCGAAUAUCUACUUUUGGAGAAUAUAUUAUUUUCAUGUCUUUACUAAAAUAUAUGAUAUUCUACAUACAGUAUUUAUUUUAAAGCUUGGAGAUCAAGCUCACUUAUUUAUUGUUGCCGUGACCUUUUAAAAUGUUUUCCUAUAUUUUUGAAACAGAAUUACGUUAAAUAUUAUACUCUCUUAAAAAGGAAAUAAUAUCAUAUAUUCUAUUAAAAUAGAAGUCACAAUGUUAAUUCAUGUGUGAUUUUUUAGCUGGACCUAUCCUAGAAAAAAAAAUUAGUCAAAUAUUAGAAGUUUUAUAACUAACAAGAUAUAAAAUAAAUUACAACAUAUAUAAAUGAAAGCAUAUAAAAACCAAAAAAUGAAAAAUCUGUUCUUUU